rnacentral:tRNA from 1 species
CAAUGAGCUUAAGAUUCAUAUAUAAAGAUAACUUUUUUAUUAGAA